UUUGGUGGUAUACGAUGGAUCCGCGUCUGAUUAGCUGGUUGGCGGGGUAAAGGCCCACCAAGGCGACGAUCAGUAGCCGGCCUGAGAGGGUGAACGGCCACAUUGGGACUGAGACACGGCCCAAACUCCUACGGGAGGCAGCAGUGGGGAAUAUUGCACAAUGGGGGAAACCCUGAUGCAGCGACGCCGCGUGAGUGAAGAAGUAUUUCGGUACGUAAAGCUCUAUCAGCAGGGAAGAAAAUGACGGUACCUGACUAAGAAGCCCCGGCUAACUACGUGCCAGCAGCCGCGGUAAUACGUAGGGGGCAAGCGUUAUCCGGAUUUACUGGGUGUAAAGGGAGCGUAGACGGCAGCGCAAGUCUGGAGUGAAAUCCCAUGGCUUAACCAUGGAACUGCUUUGGAAACUGUGCAGCUAGAGUGCAGGAGAGGUAAGCGGAAUUCCUAGUGUAGCGGUGAAAUGCGUAGAUAUUAGGAGGAACACCAGUGGCGAAGGCGGCUUACUGGACUGUAACUGACGUUGAGGCUCGAAAGCGUGGGGAGCAAACAGGAUUAGAUACCCUGGUAGUCCACGCUGUAA
rnacentral:rRNA from 1 species